UACGGGGGAUGCAAGCGUUAUCCGGAUUUAUUGGGUUUAAAGGGUGCGUAGGCUGUGAGGUAAGUCAGCGGUGAAAUGCCCCCGCUCAACGGGGUGAAGUGCCAUUGAUACUGCCUUGCUGGAAUGCGGAUGCCGUGGGAGGAAUGUGUGGUGUAGCGGUGAAAUGCAUAGAUACCACACAGAACACCGAUUGCGAAGGCAUCUCACGAAUCCGCUAUUGACGCUGAGGCUCGAAAGCGUGGGGAGCAAACAGG
rnacentral:rRNA from 1 species